AAAAAGCAGAUACUUUAAUUCUUUUAAAAAAUGGUUAGUGUCCCGAUAAACGUAACGCCAACAUACCUAAUAGCUGAAACUGAGCAACAUUAUUAAAAUUCAAUAAUACAAAGCGAUGUUCUUACAGGAUGGCAUGCUAAGGAUAACCAGACUGUUCAAAAUCUCUACCAUCAAACCAAAGCUAUAAUGUUCUAUAGUGUGCCUCAUAAAGGCUCUCCAAUUGCAGACAUGACUUUUCCUUUCUUCCGACGAAGUAUUGAAGUUAUGGAAAUCCGAACAAACUGUGACUUCGUUCUCAACUUACAUCGCAGUUUUCUUGAAAUAUUCAACACUGAGGAACAGGACAAAAAACCGGAAAUUUUCAGUUUUAUAGACACUGAAAAUACGCCCGUAGGAUUUACUUCUCUAAAAUUCAUCGCUUACGAAUCGGCCGAUCCAGAUAUUGGCAUCAAAUGCGACGUGCCUCUGGAUCAUAGAGAAAUUUGCAAACCCGCUGGAAGAGAUUGCUUUCUUUACCUUGAAUUAGUGAAAAUGAUCAACAAGUCCAUUUUUCAAAAGAAAGCUUAGCAGGGUUACGUUUCAGAAAAUUGCUGUUUUUUGACAAUUUUUUUUGUCAGCCAGGGCCAAUUUUCAUUAUUUAAUACAUCGCAUCCUGCAUUCUGUGCUCCAAUAGCAUUAUAUUUAAGGUAGUCUUUCAAGUAUAUACAAUUUUUAAUUAUUAAGUAGAUUUCAAGGCGGUUUUACUAAAGAAAAUUGCAUGUUUCUGUGGUACUCAAUUAUACAAUCAGUAUAAUAAUAUUAAAUUAUACCCUAAUACUACCCCAAAAUUAUAUAUCAACCAAUAAAAUUAAAUCGUACAAUGAACGUGUAUAUUGAAAAUUCAAGUUACUUAUCGACUGUGAUGCAAGCACCAAGGUUUAUAUAUUUAGUUAAUAAUAGCCAUUACGAAAUAUAGACAUAUUUAUGAUGAUAAAAAUAAAAUCAAUAUGUGAUGUUAUUAGUGAUUUAGAUGUAGUACGUUGCACAGAAUUUUGUUAUUAGUUACGAAUAAUUUUAAUAGACCUGAAGUGAAUUAAGUCAGAAAUGUUUGAGGAAAAUACCGGAAAAUAUAAAAUAACAGUUUGAAAAUAUUAAAAGCAAACUUUUUAUUUUCAUCUUCGAAGAGAAAUCAUGGUUAAAAAGUUUAACAUUAAUUUUUAAAUAAGUUAAUAAAUGUAUUGUAUUGUUAAAUUUUAAUUUUAUAUAUUCUAGAGUUAUUCUACACAUUUAUUGUGGAAGUUACCAAAUACAAAUGUACAGUAAAAAAAACCAUCAAAAUAAGGGUUAUUUUGCAAAAAUUGUCAAUUAAGAGUUAAAAUGUAUAGAAAUUAUUUCUUGUUCCUUCAUAUUUUAAGUAAACCCUACUUUCAUUUCAAUCUAUUUCACAUAAGCCAAACCUGAAAAAAGAAUAGAAAUUCAUCAGAAUUAAGUAUAAUACAAAAGUUAACCAUAUACAUA
rnacentral:lncRNA from 1 species